rnacentral:tRNA from 2 species
GCCGAGGUGGUGGAAUUGGCAGACACGCAAGAUUCAGGUUCUUGUGGGCGAAUAGCCCAUGCGGGUUCAAGUCCCGCCCUCGGCACCA